UAUGCUUUAUAUCUACUAACUAAACUAAACGAAAUAAUACCUUUCAUAACUAAUUAAGUAACUAAGCCAUAAUAUAAUAAAUACAUACAUCUAUUUCAUAUUAAGCAUAGAUUAAUCCUUUUAAAGUAAUUAAUUUUAUUCGAGACAAAAUAUUAUCCGGGUGUUUUUCAAAAACCGCGCGCAUUUUUCCAUCAGUCACGUCCGCUCAUCCCUCACUCAGUCACGGCCCACGGGAGGAUCACAGCCGGACAGCUCGCGACCCGGUCACGGAGAAUAACAGCUGGACACACAAACCCGCAAAUUAUAUAUUUAAACUAACGUUAGAGAGACGGCGACAGAGCAUGUUCCUCAUCUCUAACCGUCACUCGCGCCACAGAUCUGAAGCAAGGAACAAUAAUGACAUCAGUCAUUCAAGCUAGGAUCCUGGCAGAUCUACUAUUAUCUGAAAAUAAGGCACACCAAGAAAAAGGGAGCCUGAUCAGGUACAGAAGGCAGCUGUCUCCAUCUUUGCUGUUAAGGAGGAAGAGGGAACAUUGUCUUUAAACCCAUUGGAUGUUUUGAUUGUAUUUGAAGAUGAUGACUGCCAAGUCUUGGGUCAGUGUACUGGUGCUUUUUUUUUUUUUAACUAAAGUAUUACAGUAUACAAACUACCUUGUUUGUGUGGUCGUUACUUAUUUGGUGAAAAGUCUGAUAAGAUAGCUUAAAUGUUAUAUUUUUGAAUAUACAGCCCACUGAUUUUGUUUUAUGCUUGAAAACAUUUGUUGUAUUUCAAUAAAUACUUGAGGAAACACUCCUGUUCUGUCAUGAUUUCUUUGUACCAGUGUUUUUGCUUCUUAUGUAACUUUAUUGCUUUGAGUUUGAACUUAAACCAUUUAAGGCAAUCGGUUUCCUCAAACCAUUUAAGUAGCAAAGUGGUUAAUUUUAAGUUGUAAAGACUUAGUCAGUUUGAAUUCAGGUAACAUUCUAACUGAGUGGAAUAAACUUAAAAUGUUCAAGUUCAGUUUACUCUAAUAAUUGGCUAAGCCAACACUAAAAAAGAAGUAAAUUUAACUCGAUGUAAAUGAGUUAUGGUACUCAUAUUUAUUAGUUUUAAAACUUAAAUGGUUUAAGGCAAUCGGUUUCCUCAAACGGUUUGAGUUACCGUAACUUGCCGGGUUUUACAGUGUUGUAAUGUCAUUUGUGAUUCAUUUUUUCAGCAGGGUUGCCUCAUUGUUUUUAUAUAAUUCAUUUUAAAGGCUGUUGUUGGCUUAGGUUUGUUUUUAUAACCACAAUAUUAUCUUAAUAGCCUACUUUGUAUAUUAUUAUUAUUUGAAGUAACAAAACCAUGGUUAAUUUGCAGUUCCCAUGGCUACAAGAACCAUGUUUUUUAUUAUUAUUAUUUUUAUUAUUAUUAUUCGUGUUAAAACCAUGGCUAACUUUUGUAAGUGAACAUGGAAACGCUGAGAGAAUAUUAGACGCGUUGGUGGUGGUGAAAUUAUUACCGACAUUAAAACACGUUAUUGACCUGACAUAAACACCCAAAAAAGUUUCACAGGAUUUUGAAUGUAGCCUACCUGAAAGUGAAGCAUGGGCUUUGUUUUCAUCCUUUUUUAACUUCUCUUGGCGCCAGAGUGCUGAUGUCUUUUCACGGGCAUAGUUAUCUAUCAAUUGACCUUAUGCACAGUUACUUCCUGGUUGUAGAUAAGCCAGCUCAGCCAUUUCCGGUCAAGUGUACUGUGCCGUAAGAAGAGCGUCCUUUACUCGGUUUCUCUACAUAAUCCAUUCACAUUUAGGAGAAAAGUUUUGUUUGUCUAAGAUGACCAAACUUCCACAUAUUCCGUUUCAGGAAUGACAAAAUGCGAAUGUUAAACUUACGCGAGGGAAUCCGUUAAAUCAUGCAGCGAGUAAUUAUGUUUGACAGCGGCAACGGAAUGAAUCACCUGACGAUCCGAUGUCAAAAUAAAGCUGUGCAUUAAGUGAUUCAGACUAAAUUCAGACUAACAAAACUACAGGUCUGUGUUGGAUAAAACUUAAACGAUGUAGCCUAGUUAUUUAAAUUAAAUCUAAACAUUUCAAAAUACUGAAUGCAUUAUUUGUUUGUUAUACCAACUUACUUAAUUUGUAUUUGAAUGUGAAUUUGUGACUUCCUGCACUUGCUAUAGCCUACUUUAUACUUCAGUGCGACAAAGUACUAAAUUUGUUAUAAUAUUUAUUUUAUAAUAAAUCAAAAGACGUGAAAAACUAAGUUGAAAUGGCAGCUGCAGCCAAUGAGUGAUCCUAUACUGCCAUCUUUUGGUUAUAACGGUAAUUUCAUUUUCAUCUUAAAAAGUCUAUUUUUCGCCGAGACACGUUUUUAACAUAUUUCUUCAUGUUGUCUUCAUGAAUGAAAACGGAACCUUUAAUAAUGGGAAUUUUACCACACAGAGUUGAGAAACAAUAAAUGGGUUAAAAUUUUAUAAGAUUUUAAAAAUGUGUUCAUGGCUUUGAAGGUAAAAUAUUGAUUAAUCGAGAAUACCAUUACGUCGUUUAAGAGAUUAACCUAACUGCCUAAACAGUUAUGAUAGUGUUUAUUUGUCUGUAUGUUAAUUCCACAAUCAUUAUUUACAAUGUUGCAAUUAUUUAGUUUUUCAGUUUCUGAUAAGAAUGAGGCAGGAGAUGUUUCUGUGAGAGUCUCUACCUAUCUAUAGCACAUAUAAAAUGAGCUUCACCGGAAGAUUAAGAGCUGGUUUAUCUUUAUCCGGAAGUUCUAAAUAGAGCUCUGUGCAUAUGGUCAAUUAUGAUCAUUUGCUUUCAGCCGCAAACAUGAGGUGUGAGCGGUCGCGGGAAUGGCGCAUCACUCUCUUUUUUUUUGAGCAACUGGGAUGGUGCCCCCCUGGGAGUUGGUGCCCUACGCAAACUGCGUAACGUUACUCUGCGUAUAGGCAAAAUCAGUCAAAUCGCCGUCAGACAGCCGUUAUAAACAUGAAUUCAAACCAAGAAGAACAAAGAGAGAAGCAGCUGAUGGAGAUGUUUCCAUUUUUUCUGUGGAUAACUGUGAGUAUUUGGUGUUUGCAGUUAUAGUAUAGUGAAAUAUAAAUAUUUGUUUUGCUGAAGUAAUUGUAUAUUAUUCAAAACACGCUGUAUUUGGUUGUUGUAGAUGUUUAUCUAUCCCAGAGAGCACUGUUAAAGUUUUAGCUCCACCUUAUCAGAGCUGAAAAGAGGAAGUCAGAGGAAACAUGACCAACCUGCUGCAAAACAAUAACACAAAAGGUCUGGACUCUGGCGUGCAGCAUUACUUGUUUGGUCAUCUACAUUCAGAUGAAAACACCACACUUCUCCCUAAUUCAAGAUGUCAAGCCUACUCAUCGCAAGGAGAGUUAGCAUCAAAAUGGACGUGUCACUGACCAAUAACACAGAGAUGCCAGAAGUAUCUGUUUGCAGUCUACUUUUUGUUCAGUAUGGAGCAUCCAAAAUCCAUCACUCAGUUAAUUUCAAUCAUUACUAUUUAGCCCUUCCCAGUGCUGAAAUUGUCCUGGGUCCUUUGUUUUUAUUGUUUAAAUGCUUAUCUGAAUGUAAAAUUUAUAUUUAAUGCUUAUAAAUAAAUAAAAAAAACAAUACUAUGGUUAGUCUUUUAGCUCCCUUUUCAGAAAUAUGUGGUUCACCAUUUUUCAUGGGUUACAGAACUGGGGAAAGUUGCAGCAUACAAAAAAAAAGUCAAACUACUUGGUUUAUGGGUUUAUAGGAGAAUGUGGAGUAAAUACUUGACAUUUAUUUAAGGUAAAGGGUAAUGACCUGGUGGUGAGAUGCAAAAUAAGAUUGUCAUUAAUAUACUAUUUGAUGACAAACUUCACAUUCUAAUUCUACUUAUGUAUUUAAUUUUUUUAAGUUAACUUUAUUUAUUUGUGCAAGUUAACAUUCAAUUAUUAUUUAUUUAUUUUUGGUGGUGGUUUCUAGCAAUCAACAUAUUUGUGACUGACAUGUUGGAUGGGUGAGUUAGGUGGAGGGGGUUGAAAAAAACAAUAUUUCUAAAAUGGAGAGUGCUAUUUUAGGUUGACAGGUAAAAAUAUAUAUAUUUUUUAAAGUAUAAAUAAAGAAGCAUGGAUUUAUGUUAAUCCCUGUAACUGUUGCACUAUGAAUUGCUAUGUUAUAUAUUGCUUGUCAUUGUAAAU